rnacentral:tRNA from 1 species
UGUUUUGGGGCUUAGUUGGAUAAAGCGGCGGACUAGAAAAACGGAGUCGAGGGUUCGAAUCCCACUUAAACAA